rnacentral:sRNA from 12 species
GGGACUGGUCGAAAGACCCGGGUCCUACCACGGCGGGGAGUUACUCC